rnacentral:rRNA from 1 species
CUUGCGGUCCUGAUUUUAGCAAGCAUCUACAACGACUAGAAUAAGGUUUUAUAUUCUUUGCAACUUGAUCGUGACAAAGUUCAUUUUCCCAUCCACUAUGUUUAUGGUUGGCUUGCUUAUUACUUCUAGAAUCAUUAUAGACUUUCCAAUGGAGCAUAUGUUCCACACAUGUUGUAUAUUCGGGACUGAGGCACGACCCAGACUCCUAGGGGAGGCAGCAAUGGGGAAUUUUUCGCAAUGGGCGAAAGCCUGACGAGCAAUGUCGCGUGGAGGUAGAAGGCCCACGGGUCGUGAACUUCUUUUCCCAGAGAAGAAGCAAUAACAAUAUCUGGGGAAUAAACAUCGGCUAACUCUGCGCCAGCAGCCGCGGUAAUACAGAGGAUGCAAGCGUUAUCCGGAAUGAUUGGGCGUAAAGCAUCUGUAGGUGACUUUUUAAGUCCGCCGUCAAAUCCUAGGGCUCAACCCUGGACAGGCGGUGGAAACUACCAAGCCGGAGUACGGUAGGGGUAGAGGGAAUUUUCGGUGGAGCGGUGAAAUGCGUAGAAAUCGAAAAGAACACCAACGACGAAAGCACUCUGCUGGGCCGACAAUGACACUGAGAGACGAAAGCUAGGGGAGCGAAUGGGAUUUGAUACCCCAGUAGUCCUAGCCGUAAACGAUGCAUACUAGGCGUUGUGCGUAUCGACCCGUGCAGUGUUGUAGCUAACGCGUUAAGUAGCCCACCUGGGGAGUACGUUCGCAAGAAUGAAACUCAAAGGAAUUGACAGGGGACCGCACAAGCGGUGGAGCAUGUGGUUUAAUUCGAUGCAAAGCGAAGAACCUUGCCAGCGCUUGACAUGCAGCGAAUCCACUUGAAAGAGAGGGGUGCCUUCGGGGACACGGACACAGGUGGUGCAUGGUUGUCGUCAAGUCAUGCCGUAAGGUGUUGGGUUAAGUCCCGCAACGAGCGCAACCCUCGUGUUUAGUUGCCAUCGUUGAGUUUGGAACCCUGAACAGACUGCCGGUGAUAAGCCGGAGGAAGGUGAGGAUGACGUCAAGCCAUCAUGCCCCUUAUUCCCUGGGCGACACACGUGCUACAAUGGCCGGGACAAAGGGUCGCGAUCCCGCGAGGGUGAGCUAACCCCAAAAACCCCGUCCUCAGUUCGGAUUGCAGGCUACAACUCGCCUGCAUGAAGCCAGAAUCGCUAGUAAUUGUCGGUCAGCCAUACGACGGUGAGUUCGUUCCCGGGCCUUGUACACAUCGCCCGUCACACUAUGGGAGCUGGCCAUGCCGAAGUUAUUACCUUAACCACAAGGAGGGAGAUGACAAAGGCAGGGCUCGUGACUGGAGUGAAGUCAUAACAUGGUAGAUAUACUGGAGGGCGCGACUG